rnacentral:sRNA from 1 species
CCUACUUUAGCUUCCGGAAUCCAGUUGCGGUUCUAGUUCUUAUACUCAAUCAUACUCAUGACAUC